GGGCAUGUUAGUAUUGAAGAACCAACAAGAAAAAAAAAUUGUAGUGAAGCCACAAGGAUAGAGAGGAAUAUUUUUCUAAAGGUUUCCUUAAUGCAAUUAUGUAACCAGUCUCUGAGCUAUCCCAUUGGCAUGACAGCAUAUGUAUUUUCUAAAUAUGAGGUUUCACAAAUUUCUAAUGGUAAUUACACCACACACAAGCUGCAUAUGCAAAUAUUUUAACAAGACUUUUUAUUCAACUUUCUUUAUGGAAUAUUCACAAAAGAA
rnacentral:misc_RNA from 1 species